rnacentral:rRNA from 1 species
GAACGCUGGCGGCAUGCCUUACACAUGCAAGUCGAACGGUAACAGGUCUUCGGAUGCUGACGAGUGGCGAACGGGUGAGUAAUACAUCGGAACGUGCCCGAUCGUGGGGGAUAACGGAGCGAAAGCUUUGCUAAUACCGCAUACGAUCUACGGAUGAAAGCAGGGGACCGCAAGGCCUUGCGCGGACGGAGCGGCCGAUGGCAGAUUAGGUAGUUGGUGGGAUAAAAGCUUACCAAGCCGACGAUCUGUAGCUGGUCUGAGAGGACGACCAGCCACACUGGGACUGAGACACGGCCCAGACUCCUACGGGAGGCAGCAGUGGGGAAUUUUGGACAAUGGGCGAAAGCCUGAUCCAGCCAUGCCGCGUGCAGGAUGAAGGCCUUCGGGUUGUAAACUGCUUUUGUACGGAACGAAAAGACCUCUUCUAAUAAAGGGGGUCCAUGACGGUACCGUAAGAAUAAGCACCGG